CCUACGGGAGGCAGCAGUGGGGAAUAUUGGGCAAUGGAGGCAACUCUGACCCAGCAACGCCGCGUGAAUGAUGAAGGUCUUCGGAUUGUAAAGUUCUGUGAUGGGGGAUGAACACAAUGACGGUACCCCAAUAGCAAGCCACAGCUAACUACGUGCAAGCAGCCGCGGUAAUACGUAGGCGGCAAGCGUUAUCCGGAAUGACUGGGUGUAAAGGGUGCGUAGGUGGUUUAGUAAGUUGGCGGUGUAAUUUCGGGGCUCAACCUUGGCGCUGCCGCCAAAACUAGUAGACUUGAGUGUCGGAGGGGUAAGUGGAAUGCGUAGUGUAGCGGUGGAAUGCGUAGAUAUUAGGAAGAACACCAGUGGCGAAGGCGACUUACUGGACUGUAACUGACACUGAGGCACGAAAGCGUGGGGAGCAAACAGGAUUAGAUACCCCUGUAGUC
rnacentral:rRNA from 1 species